GGUUCCAUAGAGUGAUGGUUAGCAUGUCUGCUUUACACGCAGAAAGUCCUGGGUUCAAGCCCCAGUGGAGCCA
rnacentral:tRNA from 1 species